rnacentral:rRNA from 1 species
AUUGAACGCUGGCGGCAUGCUUUACACAUGCAAGUCGAACGGUAACAGGCCUUCGGGUGCUGACGAGUGGCGCACGGGUGAGUAAUGCAUCGGAGCGUGCCCAGAGGUGGGGGAUAACGCAGCGAAAGCUGUGCUAAUACCGCAUGUGAUCUGAGGAUGAAAGCGGGGGACCAAGCAGCAAUGUUUGGCCUCGCGCCUCUGGAGCGGCCGAUGUCAGAUUAGGUAGUUGGUGGGGUAAAGGCCUACCAAGCCGACGAUCUGUAGCUGGUCUGAGAGGACGACCAGCCCACACGGGACCGGAACACGGCCCAGACUCCCAAGGGAGGCAGCCGGGGGGAAAUUUUGACAAUGGGGGGAAGCCUGAUCCAGCCAUGCCGCGGGCGGGAAGAAGGCCUUCGGGUUGUAAAACCGCUUUUGUACGGAACGAAAAGGCUCUGGCUAAUACCUGGGGCUGAUGACGGUACCGUAAGAAUAAGCACCGGCUAACUACGUG